GCCGGGCGCGGUGGCUCACGCCUGUAAUCCCAGCACUUUGGGAGGCUGAGGCGGGCGGAUCACCUGAGGUCAGGAGUUUGAGACCAGCCUGGCCAACAUGGUGAAACCCCGUCUCCA
rnacentral:SRP_RNA from 1 species